rnacentral:rRNA from 1 species
GACGAACGCUGACAGCGUGCCUAACACAUGCAAGUCGAGCGAUUCAGAAGUCGGAUAUCAAUCCGACCUCUGGAUAGCGGCGGACGGGUGAGUAACACGUGGGUAAUCUGCCCUACGGACCGGGAUAACACACCGAAAGGGGUGCUAAUACCGGAUAAAGUCAUCAUAUGGCAUCAUAAGAUGAAGAAAGGAGAAAUCCGCCAAAGGAGGAGCCCGCGUCCCAUUAGUUAGUUGGCGGGGUAAAACCCACCAAGGCGACGAUCCAUAACUGGUCUGAGAGGAUGAUCAGCCACACUGGGACUGAGACACGGCCCAGACUCCUACGGGAGGCAGCAUG